rfam:Populus trichocarpa scaffold_17_contig_11, whole genome shotgun sequence.
UAAUUUAUUUAGGACAAUCCUUAUAUAGUUAUGAUAAACAAACAUCUGACAACUUAGAAUCACUUACUGUCACAAGCUUUUCUACAUCAUUAAUUGACAUUGAAAAAUAGAUAACAACUACUAUGUAAAUAAUAAUUU